rnacentral:rRNA from 1 species
CAAUAGCGUAUAUUAAAGUUGUUGCAGUUAAAAAGCUCGUAGUUGGAUCCCAGGUCCGGGCCUGCGGUCCGCCUCGCGGCGGUCACUGCUUGAUCCCGACCCAACCGCCGGUCUUCCCUUGGUGCUCUUCGCUGAGUGUCUCGGGUAACCGGAACGUUUACUUUGAAAAAAUUAGAGUGUUCAAAGCAGGCUACGCGCCUGAAUGAUGUUGCAUGGAAUAAUGGAAGAGGACCUCGGUUCUAUUGCGUUGGUUUUCGGAACGCGAGGUAAUGAUUAAGAGGGACAGACGGGGGCGGAUUCGUAUUGCGGUGGUUAGAGGUGGAAAUUACUUUGGUAUCGCCGCCAAGACGGACGGACUGCGAAAGACAUUUGUCCAACGAAAUAG